AUUGAACGCUGGCGGCAGGCUUAACACAUGCAAGUCGAGCGGGGUGAUGGUGCUUGCACUAUCACUUAGCGGCGGACGGGUGAGUAAUGCUUAGGAAUCUGCCUAUUAGUGGGGGACAACAUCUCGAAAGGGAUGCUAAUACCGCAUACGUCCUACGGGAGAAAGCAGGGGAUCACUUGUGACCUUGCGCUAAUAGAUGAGCCUAAGUCGGAUUAGCUAGUGGGCGGGGUAAAGGCCUACCAAGGCGACGAUCUGGAGCGGGUCUGAGAGGAUGAUCCGCCACACUGGGACUGAGACACGGCCCAGACUCCUACGGGAGGCAGCAGUGGGGAAUAUUGGACAAUGGGGGGAACCCUGAUCCAGCCAUGCCGCGUGUGUGAAGAAGGCCUUAUGGUUGUAAAGCACUUUAAGCGAGGAGGAGGCUCUUUUGGUUAAUACCCAAGAUGAGUGGACGUUACUCGCAGAAUAAGCACCGGCUAACUCUGUGCCAGCAGCCGCUGUAA
rnacentral:rRNA from 1 species